GUAGCUCAGCUGGAUAGAGUACUCGGCUACGAACCGAGCGGUCACAGGUUCGAAUCCUGUC
rnacentral:tRNA from 1 species